CCACUCGUAGGCCUGGGACGCGGGCUGCCGGCCGAGUGGCCUGAGGGCCUGGCUGCCCGGGGGGCGGGCCGGGGCCGCGGCCGGGGGCGCGGAGCGGAGCUCGGGGCGCCAGGCCGAGCCGAGGUGGGACGGACCGACGCGGAGAGGAAGGGAAGCCGCAUCCCGCGGGGCGCCCCUCCUGAAGCGAGCCGGGCAGCGGCCGCGGGCGCCCCUGCCCUGAGCCCACCCCGCGCUCUGCCCUCCCUAACAAUGGGAAUGGGGCAGAAGGAGGCGCCCCACUGCGGGGAGGUGAGGGGUGGGUUUGGGACUGGGGUCCGCGGUGGGGGGAGGUGCGAUCUCGGGCUCUCGCCUCUCCGCUCCCUCUGGCUCUGGAGUUGGGGGCCCCUGUGGGGCUCUGAAGUCCGCCUGAGACUUGGGUCAAGAGUCAAACUGUCGCCCCCCGCUCCUCCCCCAAAAUCCGGUGAGCGGUAAGGAAAGUGAUGCCAAGUCUUCGAAGCCUCAGUGACAAACGCAUAGCAAGAACACAUCCACUCCAGAGAUACCUUCUCGAAACAAAAGAUUUUCCUACCUGCUUAUACUUGGUAACCGAGGGAAUUUCUAAGACUUCUUGCUCAUUUCUGAGUAUUGUCUUUAUAUCCUGACACUAUGAAUGCUACUUGGAUGCCUCUUAAGGGUCUCUUCUGCAGGGUCCCCAUGAAUUGUGGCUGAAGUUGUGCACAAACAAGUAUCUCCAGUGACAGGAGUGCCUUCUGAGGCAGCCAUUGCAUCUUCAUCUGCUGACACUCUGCUAGGCUGACUUCUGUAGUUUUCACCACUGAUCUUCAGUCCACCUCACAGAGCUCUAUAAAACGCUUAAAUCCUCUUUACAUCAUAGACUUUCAGCUACUUGAAGAUAGCCAUCAGCCGCUACGUGACUCUUUUCUCCAGGAUCUCCCUAAUACUAUGAACGCGGCAGAGAUAACGGACAAGCUCGGCCUCCAUUCCCUCCGCUACAGAAACUGGCACAUUCAGGCUACUUGUGCCACUACUGGACAUGGGCUUUACGAAGGCCUGAACUGGCUCGCCAACCAGUUCCAGAACCAGAACUGAUCAGAAGGAUCUAUUCUUUGUGCCUUGUGGCCACAUCAGCUAGCCUCUGCUGUGUGCACGUGUACGUGUGUGCUGGGAGUGGAGGCAGCUUUCUCACAGUGCCUUAUCCAUGCCAUAAGAAAAGCAGUGUUACAUUUUAAGAAACCCAGUGUUAAGUUUUAAACACCACCUUCCAUUUCAGUAGCUUUGAUGAUCAUUUUUGCAAUUGAUGGAGAAGUCCAGAGGGCUUGCUGGUGCUCGAAGGCCAGAGCGGGCUUCAUGGAGGCGAGUUGGAGCGGGGACUGAGUUCAGCUGUUGCAAUCCUGGUCUGGCGUCUGGAGUCCUGUUAGUCUUUGGCAUCCUUUCGUAAAAAGGAAGGAAUUGUCAUUCUUUUUUUUUUAAAACCAUAUUUUUACUGUACCUUUUCAUGUUUAUUUAUUUUUUAUUAAAAAAAUUUUUUUUGAAACAGCCUCCCACUCUGUCGCCCAAGCUGGAGUGCAGUGGUGCGAUCUCAGCUCACUGCAACCUCCGUCUCUCGGGCUCAAGCAAUCCUCCCACCUCAGCCCCCUGAGUAGCUGAGACUAUGGGUGUGCACCACCACACCUGGCUAAUUUUUGUAUUUUUUGUGGAGACAGGGUCUUGCCAUGUUGCCCAGGCUGGUCUGUAACUCCUGAGCUCAAGGGAUCCACCCACCUCAGCCUUCCAAAAUGCUGGGAUUACAGGCAUGAGCCACUGCGCUACCGAGAAAUCGUCAUUCUUUACCACCACUGCUGCAGCUAGCAGCUCACUCUUCAGUGCUUUAAGCAAAUGAUCCUCAGGAAAGAAAAGGUAUUUGCUUAUUGCAGGUGCAAAGAGGCUCAGAUUGGAACUUUUCCCUGAAACUAUAUUGUAGCCCAGAGUUCCUGAUGUAAGACGCUUUAUUUAAAGACAUCCGUGAGCUUUUUCACUGGCAUAUCAAUACUUCAUAACACUAGGAAGGUAUCCAGCCUUUUCCUUAUGCUAGUUCCUUCCCUUAUUUGCCAGAUGGGGACCCUGUGGGGAGGUGACCCAGUGUGAGGCCGAAGCUCUUUCCCAGAGCCCCACAGGCCAGUGGAGGGUCGUGUUUGUGCUCUGGGCAUCACCGUCUUGGGUCUCGGUCCCCUGCGACUGCAGCUGCUACAUCCCUCCCUGCUCUGAGAUAAAUGUUCUUCCCAUGAAGCAGACGGUUCACUUUUGGGAUGGCGCUGUCUCCAGGUUUGGCUGUCUCAGUCCAGAUGAUGUUUGGUUAGUUUCCAUUCCCAGAACCACAAGCCUUUGAGUUCUGAAAGUUUGUGACAGAAUCAAGAGGCUAAUUUGGGAGAUGUGAGAUUCCCAGCCCACCUGGUAUUGCCCUCGAGUUAGUGGUAAAUUUUGCUAUGGAAAAUAUCUCUUGUCAAGACCAAGCUCCGGCGCAUUGCCUCCCUCUUUUGGAUGGCCAUGGCAUCUCAUGAACCACUUGGAAAUGUGUUUUAUGUUGUUCUCCAAAUAUUAAUAAAAAUAUCCCGGAGAGGAGGUUCACUAAAAAAAAAAAAAAA
rnacentral:lncRNA from 1 species